rnacentral:rRNA from 1 species
GACGAACGCUGGCGGCGUGCCUAACACAUGCAAGUCAACUUGAGGGAAGGAGCAAUCUGACCUGAUGGUGGCGCAAGGGUGCGUAACGCGUAAGUAACUUGCCCAAGGUAAGGAAUAACGUCGAGAAAUCGGCGCUAAUACCUCAUAAUGCAGCGGAUCCGCAUGGAUAUGUUGUUAAAGGUUUUACCGCCUUGGGAUAGGCUUGCGUCUGAUUAGCUAGUUGGUGUGGUAAUGGCACACCAAGGCUACGAUCAGUAACUGGUCUGAGAGGAUGAUCAGUCACACUGGAACUGAGACACGGUCCAGA